AUUCUUGUCAAGAUAUGUCUUGUAGUACUGGACUGCUAGAAUUGCACAACCAAUCAAUUUGUUUUGGUUAGACUGCAACACUUGCAUAUUAUUUGAAAUCCAUUCAUCAGAAUCACUAUCAUCUGUAUCAUCUGUCUCAGUACCAGACUGUGAUCUGCACACAAAAAAAACAACCACCAUAAAUAAACCAAAUAAACAUUACUAUUGCACCAAAUAAAUUAAAAAAGUAUUCAACACAUUAA
rnacentral:lncRNA from 1 species